rnacentral:rRNA from 1 species
UACGUAGGGUGCGAGCGUUGUCCGGAAUUAUUGGGCGUAAAGAGCUUGUAGGCGGUUUGUCGCGUCUGCCGUGAAAGCCCAGGGCUUAACCCUGGGUCUGCGGUGGGUACGGGCAGACUAGAGUGUGGUAGGGGAGACUGGAAUUCCUGGUGUAGCGGUGAAAUGCGUAGAUAUCGUGAGGAAUACCAAGUGCGAAGGCAGGACUCUGGACAUUUCUGACGCUGAGACACGAAGGCCAGGGAGCAACGGG